UACGUAGGGUGCGAGCGUUGUCCGGAAUUACUGGGCGUAAAGAGCUCGUAGGUGGUUUGUCGCGUUGUUCGUGAAAUCUCACGGCUUAACUGUGAGCGUGCGGGCGAUACGGGCAGACUAGAGUACUGCAGGGGAGACUGGAAUUCCUGGUGUAGCGGUGGAAUGCGCAGAUAUCAGGAGGAACACCGGUGGCGAAGGCGGGUCUCUGGGCCAUAACUGACGCUGAGGAGCGAAAGCGUGGGGAGCGAACAGG
rnacentral:rRNA from 1 species